GGGAAUAUAGCUCAAGGGUAGAGUACCCGUCUCCAAAACGGGGGGUGAGGGUUCAAGUCCCUCUAUUCCUA
rnacentral:tRNA from 1 species